AAUUUAAUAGUUUAUAUUAAAAUUUUAAAUUGCAAAUUUAAAGAAAAAUUUAUUUUUAAAUUU
rnacentral:tRNA from 1 species